AGUUCCCCCUCCAGCCCCUGUGUACUUUCACCAAUCCCCCGACCCUCCUCAUCACACACAACUUCCUCCUCCCUACCAGGGCACCGAAGUGUUCCCUAUGCUGGGCUCCGUGCUGAGAGACCCCAGCUUCUUCUCCAACCCUCAGGACUUCAAUCCCCAGCAUUUCCUGGAUGACAAGGGGCAGUUUAAGAAGAGUGAUGCUUUUGUGCCCUUUUCCAUCGCCUGGUAUUUCUCCAGCUUGGAAGUUCCUGUUAGAAUCUACCCUUGAGCCAGCAGCUGAUACUUCCUUAACUACCAAGCACCCAGUACCUGCACCCAGGAAAGCGGAACUGUUUCGGAGAAGGCCUGGCCAGAAUGGAGCUCUUUCUCUUCUUCACCACCGUCAUGCAGAACUUC
rnacentral:lncRNA from 1 species